GCUGCUAUGCACAAAACCAAUCUGACUAUCACCACAGGCAGCCACCCCAAGAGCCUGGGCUAUGUCCAAAUGGCCAUCAGGAAUCUCCAUGGGAGUCUCCACAUCAUCAAGGCCAUUCACAGCUCCUGGCAUUAAGUGACACCUGUCUCAGCAGAGGAGAUGAAGAUUGAGGAGGUCCAGCACUGAACAGUCCACACUGUCCUUUUGGGCUGACUUUGCUGUUCCAGAGCCAAGGCACUGACAGCAUCAGCAGCACCAUUACUGUGCCACACUCUGUGAUUAAAUAAAGGAGAAUUUAAUUAUC